UACGUAGGGGGCAAGCGUUGUCCGGAAUCACUGGGCGUAAAGCGCGCGCAGGCGGUCAUCUACGUCUGGGGUGAAAGCCCGGAGCUCAACUCCGGGAUUGCCUUGGAUACGGGAUGACUUGAGGAUCGGAGAGGCAAGGGGAAUUCCACGUGUAGCGGUGAAAUGCGUAGAGAUGUGGAGGAACACCUGUGGCGAAGGCGCCUUGCUGGCCGAUUUCUGACGCUGAGGCGCGAAAGCGUGGGGAGCAAACGGG
rnacentral:rRNA from 1 species